UGCAAAGCUGUUCAUUGGCCUCGGCUGCGUUUCUCACCAGCCAUCUGGCUGUCAAGAUGCCCAACACAGAGCAGUUGCUUAAUAUGCACAUUCUUUGCUGCACAAGCUUUUUCAAAAACUGCUGCUGAGUUUGCACGAUGAAGCUGCUGUGGACUGAAUAUUUGUGUUUUCUCCAAAUUCGCACGAAGCCCUAACCCCCCAUGCGUCUAUAUUUGGAGAUGGGGCCUUUACAGAGCACUUCCCCCUUCGAUCUCUUCCUCCUGCUCCAGCCAUGUGGGACGCGUUUGUUUCACCUUCACCUUCCACUGUGAUUGUAUUUCCUGAGGCAUCUCCAGAAUCAGAAGGCU
rnacentral:lncRNA from 1 species